AGCAGUCGCCGCGGUAAUACAGAGGGUGCGAGCGUUAAUCGGAUUUACUGGGCGUAAAGCGUGCGUAGGCGGCUUUUUAAGUCGGAUGUGAAAUCCCUGAGCUUAACUUAGGAAUUGCAUUUGAUACUGGGAAGCUAGAGUAUGGGAGAUGAUGGUAGAAUUCCAGGUGUAGCGGUGAAAUGCGUAGAGAUCUGGAGGAAUACCGAUGGCGAAGGCAGCCAUCUGGCCUAAUACUGACGCUGAGGUACGAAAGCAUGGGGAGCAAACAGGAUUAGAUACCCCAGUAGUCCCUGUCUCUUAUAC
rnacentral:rRNA from 1 species